rnacentral:rRNA from 1 species
GGGGGGGGGGGGGGGGGGGGGGGGGGGGGGGGGGGGGGGGGGGGGGGGGGGGGGUGGGGGGGGGGGUGCGGGGGCUGGGGGGGCGAAGGGGGGGGUGACACGGGGGUGAUCUGCCCCCAACUUGGGGAUAAGCCGGGGAAACUGGGGCGAAUGCCCGGUAGGACUGCAGGGUGGUGCCUGUGGUGGAAAACGAUGUUCUAGUGGUUGGGGAUGAGCUCGCGGCCUAUCAGCUUGUUGGUGGGGUAAUGGCCUACCAAGGCGGCGACGGGUAGCCGGCCUGGGAGGGGGGACGGCCGCAUUGGGACUGAGAUACGGCCCAGACUCCUACGGGAGGCAGCAGUGGGGAAUAUUACACAAUGGGCGGAAGCCUGAUGCAGCGACGCCGCGUGGGGGAUGACGGCCUUCGGGUUGUAAACUCCUUUCGACCGCGAGGAAGCCACCUGGUUGGAAGGGUGGUGACGGUAGUGGUAGAAGAAGCACCGGCUAACUACGUG